AUUGAACGCUGGCGGCAUGCCUUACACAUGCAAGUCGAACGGUAACAGGUUAAGCUGACGAGUGGCGAACGGGUGAGUAAUGUAUCGGAACGUGCCCAGUCGUGGGGGAUAACUACUCGAAAGAGUGGCUCAUACCGCAUACGACCUGAGGGUGAAAGCGGGGGACCGUAAGGCCGCGCGCUAUUGGCGCGGCCGAUAUCAGAUGAGCUAGUUGGUGGGGUAAAAGCCCACCAAGGCGACGAUCUGUAGCUGGUCUGAGAGGACGACCAGCCACACUGGGACUGAGACACGGCCCAGACUCCUACGGGAGGCAGCAGUGGGGAAUUUUGGACAAUGGACGCAAGUCUGAUCCAGCCAUGCCGCGUGCGGGAAGAAGGCCUUCGGGUUGUAAACCGCUUUUGUCAGGGAAGAAACGAGUUUCUCUAAUACAGAGACUUAAUGACGGUACCUGAAGAAUAAGCACCGGCUAACUACGUGCCAGCCGCCGCAGUAAGAC
rnacentral:rRNA from 1 species